CGUGGUCGGUGUACAGGUGGUGCAUGGCUGUCGUCAGCUCGUGUCGUGAGAUGUUGGGUUAAGUCCCGCAACGAGCGCAACCUUGUCUUAUGUUGCCAGCACGUGAUGGUGGGGACUCGUAAGAGACUGCCGGGGUCAACUCGGAGGAAGGUGGGGACGGACGUCAAGUCAUCAUGCCCCUUAUGUCCAGGGCUUCACACAUGCUACAAUGGCCAGUACAGAGGGCUGCGAGACCGUGAGGUGGAGCGAAUCCCUUAAAGCUGGUCUCAGUUCGGAUCGGGGUCUGCAACUCGACCCCGUGAAGUCGGAGUCGCUAGUAAUCGCAGAUCAGCAACGCUGCGGUGAAUACGUUCCCGGGCCUU
rnacentral:rRNA from 1 species